AUGAAGAACGUAGUGAAAUGCGAUAAGUAGUGUGAAUUGCAGAAUUCAGUGAAUCAUCGAAUCUUUGAACGCACAUUGCGCCCCUUGGUAUCCCGAGGGGCAUGCCUGUUCGAGCGUCAUUUCACCACUCAAGCCUGGCUUGGUGUUGGGCGACGUCCUCUUUGGGGACGCGCCUCGAAACGCUCGGCGGCGUGGCACCGGCUUUAAGCGUAGCAGAAUCUUUCGCUUUGGAAGUCGGGGCCCCGUCUGCCGGAAGACCUGCUCGCAAGGUUGACCUCGGAUCAGGCAGGGAUACCCGCUGAACUUAAGCAUAUCAAUAAGCGGAGGA
rnacentral:misc_RNA from 1 species